rnacentral:rRNA from 1 species
GACGAACUUUGGCGGCGCGCCUAACACAUGCAAGUCGAACGAGCGAGAGAGAGCUUGCUUUCUCGAGCGAGUGGCGAACGGGUGAGUAACGCGUGAGGAACCUACCUCAAAGAGGGGGACAACAGUUGGAAACGACUGCUAAUACCGCAUAAGCCCACAGCUCGGCAUCGAGCAGAGGGAAAAGGAGCAAUCCGCUUUGAGAUGGCCUCGCGUCCGAUUAGCUAGUUGGUGAGGUAAUGGCCCACCAAGGCAACGAUCGGUAGCCGGACUGAGAGGUUGAACGGCCACAUUGGGACUGAGACACGGCCCAGACUCCUACGGGAGGCAGCAGUGGGGAAUAUUGCACAAUGGGGGAAACCCUGAUGCAGCGACGCCGCGUGGAGGAAGAAGGUCUUCGGAUUGUAAACUCCUGUUGUUGAGGAAGAUAAUGACGGUACUCAACAGGGAAGUGACGGCUAACUACGUGCCAGCAGCCGCGGUAAAACGUAGGUCACAAGCGUUGUCCGGAAUUACUGGGUGUAAAGGGAGCGCAGGCGGGAAGACAAGUUGGAAGUGAAAUCUAUGGGCUCAACCCAUAAACUGCUUUCAAAACUGUUUUUCUUGAGUAGUGCAGAGGUAGGCGGAAUUCCCGGUGUAGCGGUGGAAUGCGUAGAUAUCGGGAGGAACACCAGUGGCGAAGGCGGCCUACUGGGCACCAACUGACGCUGAGGCUCGAAAGUGUGGGUAGCAAACAGGAUUAGAUACCCUGGUAGUCCACACCGUAAACGAUGAUUACUAGGUGUUGGAGGAUUGACCCCUUCAGUGCCGCAGUUAACACAAUAAGUAAUCCACCUGGGGAGUACGACCGCAAGGUUGAAACUCAAAGGAAUUGACGGGGGCCCGCACAAGCAGUGGAGUAUGUGGUUUAAUUCGACGCAACGCGAAGAACCUUACCAAGUCUUGACAUCCCUUGACGAACAUAGAAAUAUGUUUUCUCUUCGGAGCAAGGAGACAGGUGGUGCAUGGUUGUCGUCAGCUCGUGUCGUGAGAUGUUGGGUUAAGUCCCGCAACGAGCGCAACCCUUACUGUCAGUUACUACGCAAGAGGACUCUGGCAGGACUGCCGUUGACAAAACGGAGGAAGGUGGGGAUGACGUCAAAUCAUCAUGCCCUUUAUGACUUGGGCUACACACGUACUACAAUGGCGUUAAACAAAGAGAAGCAAGACCGCGAGGUGGAGCAAAACUCAGAAACAACGUCCCAGUUCGGACUGCAGGCUGCAACUCGCCUGCACGAAGUCGGAAUUGCUAGUAAUCGUGGAUCAGCAUGCCACGGUGAAUACGUUCCCGGGCCUU